ACCGCCCACAGAUGAGCCUGCGUCUCAUUAGUUAGUUGGUGGGGUAACGGCCUACCAAGGCAACGAUCAGUAGCUGGUCUGAGAGGACGAUCAGCCACACUGGGACUGAGACACGGCCCAGACUCCUACGGGAGGCAGCAGUGGGGAAUUUUCCGCAAUGGGCGAAAGCCUGACGGAGCAAGACCGCGUGAGGGAGGAAGGCUCUUGGGUUGUAAACCUCUUUUCUCAGGGAAGAAGCUCUGACGGUACCUGAGGAAUCAGCCUCGGCUAACUCCGUGCCAGCAGCCGCGGUAAUACGGAGGAGGCAAGCGUUAUCCGGAAUUAUUGGGCGUAAAGCGUCCGCAGGUGGCGAUUCAAGUCUGCUGUCAAAGCACGGGGCUUAACUCCGUUAAGGCAGUGGAAACUGAAUAGCUAGAGUGCCGUAGGGGUAGAGGGAAUCCCCGGUGUAGCGGUGAAAUGCGUAGAGAUCGGGGAAGAACAUCGGUGGCGAAAGCGCUCUACUGGACGGCAACUGA
rnacentral:rRNA from 1 species